rnacentral:rRNA from 1 species
AUGUCGCAUAUUAUUGAUGAUGCGACUUCUCCUAUGCAUGAUACUUAUGAUGAAACUACUUCUAUGCCUGAUACUACUGUGCCACUCGAUGAAUUUCUUGAUGAACAACUCGCUAGGGCUAGAGAGAAUGAAAUUAUAGAAACUAAUAAUACUGAUGAAAGUGAUUAUGAAGGCUCUCCUAAUAAAUAUGAAUUACCUAUUGUUCCUGAGGGCUAUGUUAUGGAUGAAGAAAGUAAAAGAGACUUCCUUGAUUGCAAUGAUAGAAGUGAUCUUAAGAAAUUAUUAGCUAAGCUUAAACAAAAAACUCUGAAUUCUAGAAUGAAAUAUGAUCCUGCUUAUGCUACUUCACCUAUCUUUGUUACUGAUAAAGAUUAUGAAUUCUCUAUUUAUCCUGAUAUAAUUACUUUGGUUGAAUCUGAUCCUUUUUAUGGCUAUGAAUUUGAAACUGUUGUGGCACAUCUUACUAAAUUAAAUGAUAUAGCCACCCUGUUCACUAAUGAUGAGAGAACUUUCUACUUUUAUAUUCUUAAAAUAUUUCCGUUCUCAUUAAAUGGCGAUGCUAAGAUAUGGUUUAAUUUUCUUGAUCUUGGUUGUGUGUGUAGUCCCCACGAUAUGAUUUAUUACUUCUCUGCUAAAUAUUUCCCUACUCAUAAGAAACAAGCUGCCUUAAGGGAUAUAUAUAAUUUUGUGCAAAUUGAAGAAGAGAGUCUCCCACAAGCUUGGGGGAGGCUUCUCCAAUUACUUAAUGCUUUUCCUAAUCAUCCUCUUAAGAAAAAUGAAAUACUUGAUAUCUUUUAUAAUGGACUAACCGAUGCUUCCAGAGAUUACCUGGAUAGUUGUGUUGGUUCUGUUUUUCAGGGAAAGAACACCGGAUCAAGCUGA